rnacentral:misc_RNA from 1 species
GGAGGAUUACGUCCACUGGUGAUGUUUGUUAGGCAUUUCUUUGCAAUGGAUUGGGACUGUAAAAUCUCUCAUGGGUAUCGCAGGGCUAAUCACUGUGCUGACAUACAUUUGGGAUUUCAUGUGCUUCAGCAACUCUGUCUGGUCUGAUCUCAUGGUUGCUGCAUAAUGUUAGUGGGGUUUCAUAUCCCAGAGAUUGCUUGUAGUUUCUCC